rnacentral:misc_RNA from 1 species
UGUGAGGGGUCCUGCUGCUCGAAGGAAUCUAAAUUGCUUUCUUGAUUUUCCCAAGUGCUUCAUGACCAAAAGUAUAGCAAGAAUGCUAGAUCCCAUCACAAAAGGAGGCCACGAGAACUUAUCCGCUCCAGAUAUUAUGCUCUUUACUAAUGGCACAAUCUUGCUGCUUCGUACAACAUCAUAUCCCAGGAAGUACUUUGCUUGAGAUAAUGCAAUCACAAUGGCUGAUGCAGUUGUGAAGCCAGAAAUCACAGAGUGACUAAUGAAGCGUAUAAUCCAUCCAAGCCUCAAAAGCCCCAUGAUGCAUUC